rnacentral:snRNA from 1 species
GCUUGCUGCAACAACACAUACACUAAAAUUGGAACUAUAUAGAGAGGAUUUCCAAGGCCCAUUGAAACUAUAUAGAGAGGAUUUCCAAGGCCCCUGCACAAGGAUGACACACAAAUUCAUGAAGUGUUUUGUAUUAAA